GUCCUCCCACAGAGCGUGGAACAAAUAGCCGGUUGCCAGGAUGGCUUUUUGCCUGUAAGGCUUUCUUUUGAGACCUUAGGAAGAAGGAACAAAGGGAAUGUGGAAAUGAAAGAGGGAGGCUGGCAGAUGUGAUGAGCAGCGGCGAAGGUGUACCCAGUCUGGCACUCGCUCCCCCUUCUCGCUCUCGCUCUCCCUCCAGCCUCGGCGCCUCGCAGCCUUCCGCAGGCAGCCUGCCCUCCCGCGCUAAGAAACGUGCUUUUUAGAUACAGCCGCGUGCUUAUAGAUGGAGCACCGGGACGUAGCACAAGUUGACUUGGAAGACACUGGAGGUUGGGAAGACUCACCUGUAAGAAAGCAGUUUCAGGAAGGAAGCCUAGCAUUCAUGUAGCCUCGCCGGGAUUCCUUCAGUUUCCAGUAGGGGAAAGUACCGUUAACAUCAAAAAGCCUGCUUCAGAGACCGGCGUCCUAUGCCUGAGUAAAGCAGUGGGUUUCCUCAAGAUAAGGCCGAGUAACAGCAACGUGGGGCUAAUUUCCAUUGCGUUUUGGUUAGAAUCAGACUCAGCCAGACGGGAGUGUUGAAUUCGACCCUUAGUGCAAUGCAGUGCAAAUAUGUUUGUGUACCUGUUGUUCUAAUGAAUCCUAAUUCACACACACCCUUGAUAUAACUAAAGAACCAUAAACCCCAGUUUGCAUUCAUUCCAACUAUCUCCCGCGGGAGUGGUUUGGUCUCUCAACGUUUGGAAAUGUUUGUUGAGCGCCGUCCGAAACUGCAGAAGAUACUCCCAAAUUGUUUGCUUUGACGCGAGUUUGGUUGCUGAUGAAUCCUUACCACCUGAUGCUUCUUCUGUGCAUUGAUUGAUAUAACACUCCUGACAACGCUCAAGAAUGCAAGCGUCUGAUGGCAGAGCAUCAGCCAAGACUCGGGGUCCCUCAUACCAAACUGAGUUUGUAUGCGGGCUGUUUUCUUAGGCAUGAUUAACUAGACGGAUUGGACUCAAAAAAGUGACAUGUUCCAGAGUAAGAGAUACAAAGUAGGUAAAGUCUUAUUAGACCAGCAUCUUUUUGGUGCAGGAGUAUGCACAUUUACGAACUACACCAGUCUCUUCAUCAGCUAGGUUUUUUAAAAAAAGAUCUUACCAUACGGUGGGGAGAAGGGAUAUUGCUCCAUAUAUAUCUUAAUAAUUUGUGUGUCGAUUUAAAAAAAAGAUUGGAGGAAGAACAUCAGAUCUUCUGGCAAUAAAAAUGUGUAUUUUACAAAACGUACCGAUGUUCCUUGCAGUUUAAUCUACAAUACACGUGAUAUUGCAUAAUCUAAACUAGGGGAAAAAGUUGUACUAACAAUUAUGAAAGGGUACCAGGCGAAAACUUGGUUGGCAACAAAACAGUUUGAAUGGAAUGAAAAGAACAGUCGAAAUUUGGAUGUUAUAGAUGUGCGGCUAAUGACAUGUUAAGACAAAAACUGUCCAGCCAAACUGGUUAAAUGAAAACGGGGAAACUUAAACAGGAACGUAUGUUAC